GUUUGGUUUAAUUUGGCCCAGUAGUUUCAGAGGAGAAGAUUUUUGUAAAAGAUUACUAAGAUUUACGAAAAAUGGUUAAAAAUUGACUAUAAAGGGCAAUAACUCCUAAAGGGGUCAACUGACAAUUUCAGUCGUGUUGACUUAUUUGUAAAUCUUACUUUGCUGAACAUAAUGGCUGUUCACUGUUUAUCUCUAUCUAUAAUAUUAUUCAAGAUAAUAACCAAAAACAGCAAAAUUUCCUUAAAAUUACCAAUUCAGGGGCAGCAACCCUACAACGGGUUGUUCGAUUCAUCUGAAAUUUUCAAGGCAGAUAGAUCUUGACCUGAUUUACAAUUUAACUCCGUCAGAUUUGCUCUUAAUGCUUUGGUUUUUGAGUUAUAAGCCAAAAACUGCAUUUUACCCCUAUUAUCUAUUUUUAGCCAUGGCGGCCAUCUUGGUUGGUUGACC
rnacentral:lncRNA from 1 species